ACACCUGCAGGCCAGAGAGAGAACUGCAUGAAGAUUUGAAAUGACUUUAAGAGUUAUUAAUAUUUAGAAAGAAAGAAAUGGGAAAUACUGGAAUUGAAAAAACUAAGAACAUAUACAUAAAAUAAAAAAAAUCUAAUUUAUAAGAAACAAAAACAAAUAUAUGAAAAUAGUUUUUUAAAUAAGUGUUUCCUGCAUGGCCAGAGCGAACAGCACCAGCUCACUGAGGUGACGCCAGCCGUCGUCGCUGUCCUGAUGGACACAUCGCCGUUAGCAACCGGCCGCAGCACCGAGCCGAGGCAGGAGGACACUCACCUGUCUGUCAGAAGUCAGAGAACCUGGGCAGCGAGGCGAACAGAACCCCGACCCGCUGGUACGACUGGGCGUACAGCUCCUAGCGUCCAAACACAGCGGCAGGAAGUGCUGAGCCACGUGAGACGGCAGGAUGUUGAGCAGCAGACACUCGUUGUGCUCACGCUGCUCCUUCAUGUCUUCCACCUCCUUCC